CCUACGGGUGGCAGCAGUGAGGAAUAUUGGUCAAUGGACGAAAGUCUGAACCAGCCAUGCCGCGUGCAGGAGGACGGCUCUAUGAGUUGUAAACUGCUUUUGUCCAAGGGUAAACCUGAAUACGUGUAUUCAGCUGAAAGUACUGUACGAAUAAGGAUCGGCUAACUCCAUGCCAGCAGCCGCGGUAAUACGGAGGAUCCAAGCGUUAUCCGGAUUUAUUGGGUUUAAAGGGUGCGUAGGCGGAUUGGUAAGUUAGAGGUGAAAUGUCCGGGCUCAACUCGGGAACUGCCUCUAAAACUGUCGAUCUAGAGAGGAGGUGCGGUAGGCGGAAUGUAUGGUGUAGCGGUGAAAUGCUUAGAGAUCAUACAGAACACCGAUUGCGAAGGCAGCUUACCAA
rnacentral:rRNA from 1 species